CUGAAGUUCAGAAGCAAGAACAGAAAAGCAGACAGAUGGGAAUUGCCAUGACCAAGAGAGUAGAAUGGAAAAGGGGAUUGGGCCUAGAUCUGGCAAAUACUGGGCUUGAGGAUCCAGGGAACAAAGAACCAAAUUCCUGGGUAUAGACAUCUUGUCCAGAGAGAAGAUGAUACAAAAGAACGGGUGCCACGUAUGGAACCAACAUUGUACAAAAUCUGGAUUGGGCAGCCUCCUCCUCUUGUUAAAAAAAUAAAUUAUAA